CCCUUAGAUGUCCUGGGCCGCACGCGCGCUACACUGACAUGUUCAACAAGCCUCCUAGUUCGACAGGAUUUGGGAAAUCUUUGAACGCAUGUCGUGAUAGGGAUAGAUCAUUGCAAUUAUUGAUCUUGAACGAGGAAUUCCUAGUAAACGCGAGUCAUCAGCUCGCAUUGAUUACGUCCCUGCCCUUUGUACACACCGCCCGUCGCACCUACCGAUUGAGUGAUCCGGUGAAUAAUUCGGACUGCAGCACUGCUUGGUCUCCAGGCUUUGCAGCGGAAAGUUUAGUGAACCUUAUCACUUAGAGGAAGGAGAAGUCGUAACA
rnacentral:rRNA from 1 species